UACGAAGGGGGCUAGCGUUGCUCGGAAUCACUGGGCGUAAAGCGCACGUAGGCGGACUCUUAAGUCAGGGGUGAAAUCCCGGGGCUCAACCCCGGAACGGCCUUUGAUACUGGGUGUCUUGAGUUCGGAAGAGGUGAGUGGAAUUGCGAGUGUAGAGGUGAAAUUCGUAGAUAUUCGCAGGAACACCAGUGGCGAAGGCGGCUCACUGGUCCGAUACUGACGCUGAGGUGCGAAAGCGUGGGGGAGCAAACAGGAU
rnacentral:rRNA from 1 species